UGAGGAAUAUUGGUCAAUGGGCGAGAGCCUGAACCAGCCAAAUCGCGUGAAGGAAGACUGCCUUAUGGGUUGUAAACUUCUUUUAUACAGGAAUAAAAAAGGGGACGUGUCCCUUAUUGCAUGUACUGUAUGAAUAAGCAUCGGCUAACUCCGUGCCAGCAGCCGCGGUAAUACGGAGGAUGCGAGCGUUAUCCGGAUUUAUUGGGCUUAAAGGGUGCGCAGGCGGGCUUUUAAGUCAGCGGUGAAAUCUCGGGGCUUAACUCCGAAACUGCCGUUGAAACUGGGAGUCUUGAGUAUGGAUGAAGUAGGCGGAAUUCGUUGUGUAGCGGUGACAUGCUUAGAUAUAACGAGGAACUCCGAUUGCGUAGGCAGCUUACUAAGCCAUAACUGACGCUCAAGCACGAAAGCGUGGGGAUCAAACAGGAUUAGAUACCCUGGUAGUCCACGCCGUAAACGAUGAUUACUAGUUGUAUGCGAUAUACCGUAUGUGACUAAGCGAAAAGCGAUAAGUAAUCCACCUGGGGAGUACGCCGGCAACGGUGAAACUCAAAGGAAUUGACGGGGUCAUAGCUGUUUCCUG
rnacentral:rRNA from 1 species